GAUGAACGCUAGCGGCAGGCCUAAUACAUGCAAGUCGAACGAUACCAGAGAGCUUGCUUUCUGGGAAAGUGGCGCACGGGUGCGUAACGCGUAUGCAACCUACCUUAAUCAGGGGGAUAGCCUCUCGAAAGAGAGAUUAACACCGCAUAACAUUAUGAUAUGGCAUCAUAUUAUAAUCAAAUAUUUAUAGGAUUAAGAUGGGCAUGCGUGACAUUAGCUAGUUGGUGAGGUAACGGCUCACCAAGGCUACGAUGUCUAGGGGAUCUGAGAGGAUGACCCCCCACACUGGUACUGAGACACGGACCAGACUCCUACGGGAGGCAGCAGUAAGGAAUAUUGGUCAAUGGAGGCAACUCUGAACCAGCCAUGCCGCGUGCAGGAAGACGGCCCUAUGGGUUGUAAACUGCUUUUAUACGGGAAUAAACCUCUCUACGUGUAGAGAGUUGAAUGUACUGUAAGAAUAAGGAUCGGCUAACUCCGUGCCAGCCGCCGCAGUAA
rnacentral:rRNA from 1 species